GUAUCAUGACUGUCAGCUUAACGAAGAAGGCUGACCACCUGCCUCAACGUUGCCUUCAAGAAACGUGGGUUCUGCGAACAUUAUGACUCACUCCUUUGCAUACAGCAUAUUCACGUGAUUGGCAGUAACACGGUUAUGUUCAAGCUGUUCUAGACCACACUUUGCAUGAAUCUUAGUCAAAGAGCAACACACUUUGCCAGGUUGUGGCGUUCAAGGAUCCCGCUAUAACAUCUGACGUUUCGUACUUCCGCACGCCACCUUGAACGCAGCGUGAUUCUGCGAUGGCGGCUGCUCCACCUGGUCGGGCUGCUGGCUCCAGCGGGCAGCUCUUUCCCUGGGUUUUUCCACAAGGAAAAGUUACCUUGGAAAGCGAGAGUUCCAGAGUCUAAAGACCUGUGGCACCUCGUCUACUAAAACCUGGAGGCCUUUUAGUUAUGCAUUCUUGUUAAACCUUCAUUCAGAGACAACCCCAAGCUGAAGAGUUUGAACUCUAAACAUGUCCAAGGAUACGGACCAUGAAGAGAUGCAGAAGCUGACCGGAGGAUGGCUUAUGUACAAGGCUACAGGUGGAGAAAGCUUGCAUGGAUUCCGAGAUGGCAGCAGAGGAUUUUGAGGAGCAGAAGACCAUGGGAUGGCUGAGUCAACUGCCUGGACAAUGGAGAAGAGCAGAUCAAAAGGAGCAGAAGACCAUGGGAUGGCUGAGUCAACUGCCAUGAGCCUGGACAAUGGAGAAGAGCAG